AACAUUAAAUACACAGUUCCACAGGAAAACUUGAAGACUGAUGCAGAUGAAUGUAACUGUAUAUAGUUAUGUUCUCAUUUCCAAAGGUCUCUAACUCCUGGUUCUAUUUAUGGACUAAGAGGAUUUAAUGGACUAUAAGACCUUUCCGCAUGAGGAACCAAGCUGUGCUCCUGCAGAAUGUCAACUCCUUCAAUGAGCAGAGAAGCAAAUGGAAGGCUGAUUAAUUGGAAAAUGCCUCUUUUCAGGUAGUGGUAACACGUUUUGAAACUUUUACCUGACUGGCCUAUUUUGGCUGAUGCUCAUGCCCUCCAAUUGGAAUGUCACUGUACCCAUGGAUUGUGAAAUGUGUCUCCACCUACUUUGUUUUCUGCUACUUUAAUCCACUGGGCAUAUAAAAAAAAGACUCUGCAAUUAGUCCCCAGCAGAUGUCCACUGACUGUAGCCAACUGAAUUGCGGUGAGUUAAAUCUGUUGAUCCUUCACCUUUGAUUAUGCGCUUGCACAGACUCAAAAGAGCCUCACAGACACAUAUCUGGAAACUGAGCAAAGUACACAACUUUUAUUCUAAUGACUGUGAAAUGGAAGACCUUUCAGUAAUGUCACUGAAAG